GAUGAAGAACGUAGCGAAAUGCGAUAAGUAAUGCGAAUUGCAGAAUCCGUGAGUCAUCGAAUCUUUGAACGCACAUUGCGCCCUCGGGUAUUCCGGAGGGCAUGCCUGUUCGAGCGUCAUUAUCACCCCUCAAGCCCGGCUUGUUGUUGGAUGCAGCGCUUAUCCCGCUCCUCCCAAAGAUAAUGACGGCGUCUGCGACGACUCCUGUACACUGAGCUUUCGGGCACGUACACGGCUAGAAGUCCAGACCCGGUCGCCGUCCCCCCCGCGGGGACACCCAUUACCACAAGGUUGACCUCGGAUCAGGUAGGAAUACCCGCUGAACUUAAGCAUAUCAAUAAGCGGAGGA
rnacentral:misc_RNA from 1 species